CUCUCUUCUCUACUCUCCUCUGUCUCUCUCCUCUCUCUCCUCUCUGUCUCUCACUUCCAUCGCCCCUCACCCAGCGAAACGCAACACUCUCUCUCCUCUCUCUCCUCUCUCUCCUCUGCAGAGCGACCUUCCCUCCCAAACCCAUGACCCACUCCCCAAUUCGUGCCUCCUCCUCCGACGCCUCCCCGGUGUCUCCUCCCCCUCUUUUCCAGGGUGCCAAGCCCCUACCUUUUGUCAUCUUUGUCGUCGUUAGCCUCGCCAUCCUCUUCCUCGUCCCGAAGCUCAUCGAGGUGUCCCCGCAGGCCUGGUAGCUCCUCACCAUCUUCGUCUCCACCAUCGCCGGCCUCAUCCUUAGCCCGCUCCCAGUCGGCGCCUGGGCCUUCCUCAGCUUCACUGCCUCCAUCAUCACCCCCACGCUCUCGUUCGAUAUGGCUGAUCGUGAUCUCCCUCUUCUUCACCCCCCACCUAGCGAAACCCCUAAUCGCGGAGAGGGAGACCAAAAUGCGAGCAGGGGUUCGUCGGCGUCAGGGUUGGCCAGUAAGGGCGCUCCGCAGAGGAAAGAGGGAGAGAAAGGAGUUGAGGUGGCAAGAGGGAGGCGAAGAAAUAUCACCUAUUGUGCGUUCACCCUUGGAUGCGAGCAAGCCUCUCCAACCUCCCCCUCCCGCGUUGCCUCACCAUCAAAGGGGGAGGAUACGCAGCUGCGACAAGCUCGAGCUCAGAUCGAGCCUUGGAUUGAGCGCAACCCUCGGAUCUUGGGCUUGGCAAUGCUAGGCCCGAGCCCAUGAUCGCGAGCCUAGAGGAAGCUCAAACUCACGGAUGAGAUCUGAGGCUCAAGUGUGCUUGCCAAGCUCUGGCUCGACGACGACGUGGAUAAGUUGUGGCCACGCGAACUGGUGGCCCGGGUGUCAGCUGAUAUCAGAGGGGUUGGUGGCGGAAAACUUUGGUGAGGGGCAGUGGAAAGAAGGUCUCACAACUGUGGUCGAGGGGCAGCCACGAUUGGCUAUGGUGGGGUGAUCCUCGCGGCUUUGUAAGUGGCGUAUCCAAGAUUCCAAGGUUCGUGAUGUAGUCUCUUCUAGUGUGCCCAAGCCUACAAUUCUAAUUCCACCGAUUAAACAUGAUCUCUCUUUCUCUCUCUCAAUAAUUCAGUCAACCUAAUUAAUGCACUAAACUAAGAUUGGACAACAUCACAUUUGAUGGGAUCCUCAUUAGACCUAUAUCGGACUCACUAUUUUCAUUGGGUCAAAUCUUGUUUAGUACUUGUGUUACUCUCAUGGAAACUUAGUCACAAUCAAAUAUAGUUACUAACCAUCGCUAUUUUGGUCAUAACUUAUAGCCAAAAGAUUCCAAAUUGUUCAAAAUUUGAUGAAUUAAAAGGGGGAAUGGUAGCGCUUUUCAAACAGACAACAACAAGAUUGAAGCUUGAAAUACCCUUGCAUUGAAGUAUGUGGAUCAACUCUUACACAGUAGUUUCAUUUUUGAAAUUGAUAUCUGACUUUUCCAAUAAAGAAAAUAGCUUCCGGUGGGGAAACCUGUGUGACUGUUUAAUAAUUAUAGUACAUGAAGAUAUACCACUGCUAUAACUAAGCGAAAGAAAACCUAAAGCCAGAUGACUUGUACAUCUUCUCCCAUCUCUUCCCUGGACCAGUUUGGGAAGACAUGCGAUACCCAAUCUAGGAGCCCGUCCGAGGCCGUAUUGGCUGGACAGGCUCUUGGUCUCAAAUGCCCACGGCUUCGGUCCUGGUUGCUCUGGCAAAGGCCUCAGCGGCUUCAAUUUGGGGAUUUGCGGCGGGACCACGAGCACUUUUUGGAUGUUGCGGAGCAUGUCUGUGUCAAAGUGGUAGCGGUGGUAGGAGUUGAAGAACAUGUGGAACACUUUCGAGGAACCAAGGUAGAGCCGCCUGUGAAGAUGAAGAUGAAGAUGAAGAAAUGAAUCAGGAUAUAGCGAAAUCAGCAAAAGAAAUACUUCGAAUUACUCUAUAUCAAUAUGAUUGUAGUACAAAGUUUCUGUGAUCAAUGACAGCUUUUGAAUACAAAAUCCUCUGUUUUACAUCCCC